rnacentral:tRNA from 1 species
CGCGGAGUAGCCAAGUGGUAAGGCGCGGCUCUGCAAAAGCCGAAUCGGCGGUUCAAUUCCGCCCUCCGCGUCCA